UCGGAUAUGGUGUAACGGCUAACAUUACCGCCUUUCAUGUGCCAUCCACAGAAAAUAGUGCGCGGUAGCUCGGGGUUCGAUUCCCCGUAUCCGAA